UCCCUGCUGGCUCAAAUAGUAAAGAAUUUGCCUGCAAUGCGAGAGACCCAGGUUCGAUCCCUGGGUCAGGAA
rnacentral:tRNA from 1 species